UCUACCCAUUCCCUUCUUCCUUUCUCUCUUUUCUUUCCCUCUUUCUUUCUCUCCCUCACCCUCACGCACGCCCAUCUCCUUCCCUCAACAGCCCUUCACGCCAGCCCAACCAUCUGCCACCAUCUCCAUCUUCAUUCCAUUUCCCCCACCACUCACACCCCACAGCCACCAGCACCUCACGCCUUCAUCCUUCACACCACCCAACAGUCCCACGCCAGCAGCUCCUCUAUCAUUGUGCUGCCGCAUACACCACAGCACCGUCUUCUUCAAUCCACGCCUCAGCCAGCAACCACCAAGCAGCAGCCGCACCUCCAUCCACAGCUCAGCUCGUGCCCAGCAGCCGAUCAGCUCAGCAACCUCAAAACCGAACCAGUAGAAGCAGAACCAGUUUCUCCUCCUUCAGCAAUGAUUUGCGAGUUGUUUUUCAGUGCCUUCCGGGCCUCCUUUGGGCUAAUCCGGUCUCUAAUGUGGAGAACCCGGAGCCCGAAGUUGAAGGAUCCGGAACGUAGGUAGCCUAGUAGUUUCUUUCUAGAGACAGACUAGUGUGUAUAAACCUGAGAUGUUUAUAAAGCGUGAUUGAUGAAUUUGGUUAUCCUACUUUUCUA